GCUUAGCCCUUAACAUAGAUAUUACAAACACAAUAAUAUCCGCCAGAAAACUACUAGCGAAAAGCUUAAAACUCCAAGGACUUGGCGGUGCUUCAUAUCAACCUAGAGGAGUCUGUCCUAUAAUCGAUACCCCACGUUUCACCUAACCCCCCCUAGACAACUCAGCCUAUAUACCGCCGUCGAAAAGCCUACCCUAUGAAGGAAACAAAGUAGGCACAAUAGUCAAUAACUAACACGUCAGGUCAAGGUGUAGCACAUGGAGAGGCAGAGAUGGACUACAUUUUCCAAAACAAAACACGGACAGCACAAUGAAAUCUGUACUUGAAGGCGGAUUUAGUAGUAAGACAAACAAGAAAGGAUGUCUAAAACCCGCUCUGAAGCGCGC
rnacentral:rRNA from 1 species